CUACGGGUUGCUGCAGGCGCGAAACCUUUACAAUGCACGCAAGUGUGAUAAGGGGAUCCUGAGUGCUGAUGUUUAACAUUGGCUUUUUUCAAUGUUAAAACCAUUGAAGAAUAAGUGGUGGGUAAGACUGGUGCCAGCCGCCGCGGUAACACCAGCGCCACAAGUGGCGAUCAUGUUUAUUGGGCCUAAAGCGUCCGUAGCCGGUUUAAAAAAUCUCUUGUGAAAUUGUUGCGCUCAACGUAACAGCAUGCAAGAGACACUUUUAAACUAGAAACCAGGAAGAGUCAGAAGUACUCUAAGGGUAGCGGUAAAAUGUUAUAAUCCUUAGAAGACUACCAGUGGCGAAGGCGUCUGACUAGAAUGGAUUUGACGGUGAGGGACGAAAGCCAGGGGAGCAAACAGGAUUAGAUACCCCCGUAGUC
rnacentral:rRNA from 1 species